CUCAUAUUGAACGCUGGCGGCAGGCCUAACACAUGCAAGUCGAACGGUAACAGGAAACAGCUUGCUGUUUCGCUGACGAGUGGCGGACGGGUGAGUAAUGUCUGGGAAACUGCCUGAUGGAGGGGGAUAACUACUGGAAACGGUAGCUAAUACCGCAUAACGUCGCAAGACCAAAGAGGGGGACCUUAGGGCCUCUUGCCAUCGGAUGUGCCCAGAUGGGAUUAGCUAGUAGGUGGGGUAAAGGCUCACCUAGGCGACGAUCCCUAGCUGGUCUGAGAGGAUGACCAGCCACACUGGAACUGAGACACGGUCCAGACUCCUACGGGAGGCAGCAGUGGGGAAUAUUGCACAAUGGGCGCAAGCCUGAUGCAGCCAUGCCGCGUGUAUGAAGAAGGCCUUCGGGUUGUAAAGUACUUUCAGCGGGGAGGAAGGGAGUAAAGUUAAUACCUUUGCUCAUUGACGUUACCCGCAGAAGAAGCACCGGCUAACUCCGUGCCAGCAGCCGCGGUAAUACGGAGGGUGCAAGCGUUAAUCGGAAUUACUGGGCGUAAAGCGCACGCAGGCGGUUUGUUAAGUCAGAUGUGAAAUCCCCGGGCUCAACCUGGGAACUGCAUCUGAUACUGGCAAGCUUGAGUCUCGUAGAGGGGGGUAGAAUUCCAGGUGUAGCGGUGAAAUGCGUAGAGAUCUGGAGGAAUACCGGUGGCGAAGGCGGCCCCCUGGACGAAGACUGACGCUCAGGUGCGAAAGCGUGGGGAGCAAAACAGGAUUAGAUACCCUGGUAGUCCACGCCGUAAACGAUGUCGACUUGGAGGUUGUGCCCUUGAGGCGUGGCUUCCGGAGCUAACGCGUUAAGUCGACCGCCUGGGGAGUACGGCCGCAAGGUUAAAACUCAAAUGAAUUGACGGGGGCCCGCACAAGCGGUGGAGCAUGUGGUUUAAUUCGAUGCAACGCGAAGAACCUUACCUGGUCUUGACAUCCACGGAAGUUUUCAGAGAUGAGAAUGUGCCUUCGGGAACCGUGAGACAGGUGCUGCAUGGCUGUCGUCAGCUCGUGUUGUGAAAUGUUGGGUUAAGUCCCGCAACGAGCGCAACCCUUAUCCUUUGUUGCCAGCGGUCCGGCCGGGAACUCAAAGGAGACUGCCAGUGAUAAACUGGAGGAAGGUGGGGAUGACGUCAAGUCAUCAUGGCCCUUACGACCAGGGCUACACACGUGCUACAAUGGCGCAUACAAAGAGAAGCGACCUCGCGAGAGCAAGCGGACCUCAUAAAGUGCGUCGUAGUCCGGAUUGGAGUCUGCAACUCGACUCCAUGAAGUCGGAAUCGCUAGUAAUCGUGGAUCAGAAUGCCACGGUGAAUACGUUCCCGGGCCUUGUACACACCGCCCGUCACACCAUGGGAGUGGGUUGCAAAAGAAGUAGGUAGCUUAACCUUCGGGAGGGCGCUUACCACUUUGUGAUUC
rnacentral:rRNA from 1 species